rnacentral:rRNA from 1 species
AUUGAACGCUGGCGGCAGGCCUAACACAUGCAAGUCGAGCGGAUGACCGGAGCUUGCUCCUUGAUUCAGCUGCGGACGGGUGGGUAAUGCCUAGGAAUCUGCCUGGCAGUGGGGGACAACGUUUCGAAAGGAACGCUAAUACCGCAUACGUCCUACGGGAGAAAGCAGGGGACCUUCGGUCCUUGCGCUAUCAGAUGAGCCUAGGUCGGAUUAGCUUGUUGGUGAGGUAAUGGCUCACCAAGGCGACGAUCCGUAACUGGUCUGAGAGGAUGAUCAGUCACACUGGAACUGAGACACGGUCCAGACUCCUACGGGAGGCAGCAGUGGGGAAUAUUGGACAAUGGGCGAAAGCCUGAUCCAGCCAUGCCGCGUGUGUGAAGAAGGUCUUCGGAUUGUAAAGCACUUUAAGUUGGGAGGAAGGGUUGUAGAUUAAUACUCUGCAAUUUUGACGUUACCGAAAGAAUAAGCACCGGCUAACUCUGUG